rnacentral:rRNA from 1 species
AUUGAACGCUGGCGGCAGGCCUAACACAUGCAAGUCGAGCGGAGCGGCGGACGGGUGAGUAAUGCCUAGGAAUCUGCCUGGUAGUGGGGGAUAACGUCCGGAAACGGGCGCUAAUACCGCAUACUAUCGGAUGUGCCCAGAUGGGAUUAGCUAGUAGGUGGGGUAACGGCUCACCUAGGCGACGAUCCCUAGCUGGUCUGAGAGGAUGACCAGCCACACUGGAACUGAGACACGGUCCAGACUCCUACGGGAGGCAGCAGUGGGGAAUAUUGCACAAUGGGCGCAAUCCUGAUCCAGCCAUGCCGCGUGUAUGAAGAAGGCCUUCGGGUUGUAAAGUACUUUCGGCGGGGAGGCGUUACCCAAAGAAGAAGCACCGGCUAACUCCGUGCCAGCCGCCGCGGUAAUUC